UACGUAGGCAGCGAGCGUUGUUCGGAGUUACUGGGCGUAAAGCGUGCGUAGGCGGUGUCUUAAGUUUGUUGUGAAAUCUCCCGGCUUAACCGGGAGGGUGCGGCGAAUACUGAGAUGCUGGAGUGCCGGAGAGGUAAGCGGAAUUCCUGGUGUAGCGGUGAAAUGCGUAGAUAUCAGAAGGAACACCUGCGGUGUAGACGGCUUACUGGACGGUAACUGACGCUGAGGCACGAAAGCUAGGGGAGCAAACAGG
rnacentral:rRNA from 1 species